UCACACUACAGAUCACAUUCACCCCAUUCACACACACAUUCAUACAGCACUUGUUCUAUACAUUAGUGCUUUCUAACACAUACACACACAUACACAUACAUUCACACACCAUGCCAUCAGCAUUUGUGAUCUUCACACACAUAAACAGGUCUUACUGGGAAGAACCAGCACCGCCAACCAAAGAAUCGAAUCUUGGUGGAGUUCUUUGUUUGCAGACCUCAGAGAUAAUGGGUUUGACGGUGGGUUUCUGGACAAGGCCAUCCUUCAGUUUUGUUGCAUGGGACUCAUCCAAGAUGAGUUGGAUGACACUGCACAGGUUUGGAACCAUCAAAAAACAUCAAUGUCCCCAGCAGCCGGCCCAAUGUGAUGCAUACGUUGCCUCAACUCUAUGGGACCAGAGACUUCCUUUCCCCUGUUGAUGAUGAACAUGUGCAACUGUGCAAAGAUGAAUGUGUCUUUCGCCUGACAAAACCCUGUGCUCUAGAUGUGUAUGAACUGUGCCAUACCUUUAUGGCAGAGUCCCAUCUGACUCUACCAGCUGAUCCAUAUCAGGCUGUGAGCUUGUAUAUGCAUCUUAGACAGGCCAUCACUGAGUCUCUGUAAGUCAAAUGUCAAUCCAGAUCAUAACUCCUGCUAUUGAGCUCAUGACCUCUUGAUGGUCCUUCUGAGAGUGUGUGUGCGUUCCCCUCUGAGAGUGUGUGUGCGUCUAUGUGUGUGGUCUUAAGUAGAAAACUGCUAGAGAAAACUAAUGUAUCUUCUUCUGUCUGUGAUAAACAGCAGAUAAAUGUGUUUCCUUAUUUUGUAAUCUAUUAUAUGUUUUCAUCACACAAUUCUUUAUCCUGUGUGAAAUCCUGGCCUGCAACUCUGAA